GGCCUCCACACAGAAAAUAUCGGGUGAUUUGGUACCCUCCUCCUGGUCCUCAUGCUGCGUAGGAUCGGCGUAUAAGUAGGCCAGUGGCAUUGCUUCCAAGCACAACGAAAACACAAGCAUCCUUCCUUUAGCAAUGGCUCCCCUCAAGAAUCUGGCCUUGUUGCUUUGCGUGAUGCUGGCCUCGAUCGCGUUCGCCGCGCAGGCCGUGCUCGCCGCCAGAGGCCUCGCUUCUGCCAACCGUGCUUUAAGCAGCAUGAAUCCGUACACGAGGGAACCGCCAAAUCCACCUUGUGACCCAGCUGUUGCGUACUGUUCGAGCAGGCCACCCGCACAUUAGCUUCCGAGAAGCUACUGAGCACUGCUCACCGUCAAUAUAAGCAAAGUGAUGUGAGAUUAUCCAUCGUUCUGUUUCCCUUUUCGAAUAAGCGCCACAGUGCGCCAAGUGUGUUCACAACGGGUGAUUAUCUGUAAUAAAUCAUAUCUCGCAAGAAAAGUCGUAUCGUGUUUACAGCGGCACAAGUCUCUUUGUAUGUGUCUUUGCGUUGUAUCUCGCAAGAAUUAAUUUGUGCUUAAAGUGUC